rnacentral:rRNA from 1 species
UACGGGGGGGGCAAGCGUUGUUCGGAAUUACUGGGCGUAAAGGGCUCGUAGGUGGCCAACUAAGUCAGACGUGAAAUCCCUCGGCUUAACCGGGGAACUGCGUCUGAUACUGGAUGGCUUGAGUUCGGGAGAGGGAUGCGGAAUUCCAGGUGUAGCGGUGAAAUGCGUAGAUAUCUGGAGGAACACCGGUGGCGAAGGCGGCUCACUGGCCCGGUACUGACGCUGAGGCACGAAAGCGUGGGGAGCAAACAGG